UACGUAGGGUGCGAGCGUUGUCCGGAAUUAUUGGGCGUAAAGAGCUCGUAGGCGGCUUGUCGCGUCGGAUGUGAAAGCCCGGGGCUUAACUUCGGGUCUGCAUUCGAUACGGGCAGGCUAGAGUUCGGUAGGGGAGAUCGGAAUUCCUGGUGUAGCGGUGAAAUGCGCAGAUAUCAGGAGGAAUACCGGUGGCGAAGGCGGCAUCCUGGACCGACAUUGACGCUGAUGAGCGAAAGCUAGGGGAGCAAACGGG
rnacentral:rRNA from 1 species